ACACUGACUUCCCUGGGCGUGGCUAGAGCGGCGGGAACGAGUCUUGUCACAGCGGCCCCUGGCGGUCCGGGGCAGAUCGAGGACGCCUCCGUGGAGGUCAUGGAAACCUGCAAGGACGCCGCCAAUUACCGUCUAUGAACUUGCGAAGCUUGCAGUGUGUGAGGAUGCGCAGAACAAGGCGCUCAGCGCUCUGCGCUCUGCGUCCUGUUAAUCAUCCGCUGCCUGGAAGCUGCUCAUGAGGAAGCAUCAGAAACUCCCAGCCAUAUACCUGGGCUGGAGAUGCAUAUGGACACCGGUGGACGAACCAGACUGACCAGCUCAGCUCCCAUGCCUCAACCCAGUUUCCAAGGGAGUCCUACAAAUGCCCCCGAGCCAGCAGUUGGGUGGUACCUCUCUCCGGGACCCGCUUCUGCUGCUCGGGAGCUCUAUUCACUGUCUCUUGAGUGUGAGCCUAUAAUAAACUCCUUUCUAAAAUCUC